rnacentral:rRNA from 1 species
AAUCAACGCUGGCGGCGUGCCUCAGACAUGCAAGUCGAACGAUUAAACUUUCCUUCGGGAGAGAUAUAAAGUGGCGCACGGGUGAGUAACACGUAGGUAAUGUACCUUUGGGUGGGGAAUAACUUAGGGAAACUUAAGCUAAUACCGCAUAAUGCAGCGGCUCCUUCGGGAGACAGUUGUUAAAGAUUUAUCGCCUAAAGAGCAGCCUGCGGCAGAUUAGCUAGUUGGUAAGGUAACGGCUUACCAAGGCAACGAUCUGUAUCCGACCUGAGAGGGUGGUCGGACACACUGACACUGAAUAACGGGUCAGACUCCUACGGGAGGCAGCAGUCGGGAAUUUUGGCAAUGGGCGAAAGCCUGACCCAGCAACGCCGCGUGAAGGAUGAAGUCUUUC